rnacentral:rRNA from 1 species
UACAGAGGUCUCAAGCGUUUGUUCGGAUUCAUUGGGCGUAAAGGGUGCGUAGGCGGCGCGGUAAGUCGGGUGUGAAAUCUUGGAGCUUAACUCCGAAACUGCAUUCGAUACUGCCGUGCUUGAGGACUGGAGAGGUGAGUGGAAUUCCCAGUGUAGAGGUGAAAUUCGUAGAUAUUGGGAAGAACACCGGUGGCGAAGGCGGCUCACUGGCUCAUUUCUGACGCUCAGGCGCGACAGCGUGGGGAUCAAACAGG